UACGUAGGGGGCUAGCGUUGUCCGGAUUUAUUGGGCGUAAAGAGCGUGUAGGCGGCCAGAUAGGUCUGCUGUGAAAACUCGAGGCUCAACCUCGAGCUGUCGGCGGAAACCAUUUGGCUAGAGUCCGGAAGAGGAGAGUGGAAUUCCUGGUGUAGCGGUGAAAUGCGCAGAUAUCAGGAGGAACACCGGUGGCGAAGGCGGGUCUCUGGGCCGUAACUGACGCUGGAGGAGCGAAAGCGUGGGGAGCGAACAG
rnacentral:rRNA from 1 species